rnacentral:snoRNA from 1 species
CCAGAGUGGUUAUAACAGGAGGUAGUUCUUCCAUGAUAUGUCCUAGUGACAGAGAGAAGCACAGGGCUUUACCCUAUCAGGAGCCAUCCCUGUCCACAGUGUUGGAGAGGAAGCUAGGCCCAGAGUUUAUACAUUU